rnacentral:rRNA from 1 species
UCGGGAAUUUUGGGCAAUGGGCGAAAGCCUGACCCAGCAACGCCGCGUGAAGGAUGAAGUAUUUCGGUAUGUAAACUUCGAAAGAAUAGGAAGAAUAAAUGGCGGUACUAUUUAUAAGGUCCGGCUAACUACGUGCCAGCAGCCGCGGUAAUACGUAGGGACCAAGCGUUGUUCGGAUUUACUGGGCGUAAAGGGCGCGUAGGCGGCAAUUCAAGUCAUCUGUGAAAUCUCCGGGCUUAACUCGGAACGGUCAGAUGAUACUGCUUUGCUAGAGUGCAGAAGGGGCAAUCGGAAUUCUUGGUGUAGCGGUGAAAUGCGUAGAUAUCAAGAGGAACACCUGAGGUGAAGACGGGUUGCUGGGCUGACACUGACGCUGAGGCGC